GUGAGCGAAUGAGCCGCAGGGGGACAGUGAGUGAGCGAGCUGCAGGGGGGAGAGCGAGCGAGCUGCGUGGGGCAAGAACGAGCGAGCUGCGGAGGGAGAGCGAGUGAGAGCGCUGUGGAGAGAUGCCACAGGCUCAGUGCACAACUGCACAGAUGCUCUGUGCGGGGUCAGCUAGUAUAAUACUACUUUAAGAGAGCUUUAGAUGUCUUCAGGGAUGAGAUGCAAAAAUCUGAUUCUAUAUAUGCCUACUCAGAUGCAAGUCGCACUGUGUUAGAUAGGCUCAGUCUCAUGUAAAUGUGUACAGGACUGCAGUCAUGGCCUAGGACUGGCAUUGUUGGGCAGCUGUCAACGACCCAUUACUGAUCCCUUAGACCACCUCUGUGCCCACGUGGUGGCAAUUCAGCAUCUCUCUGGGGAUACGGUGCGGCCACACUAUGGUGGCCAAACUAUGGUGCGGCCACAUCUGGAGUACUGUGUACAAUUCUGGUCACCACAUCUAAAAAAGGACAUUGUAAAACUGGAAAAGGUGCAGAAGAGGGCAACCAAGAUGAUCAGGGGCCUAGAGCACCUUCCUUAUGAGAGCAGAAGAUUGAAGUUUUUAUCUGCAGCUCCUGCCACUGCCACUCUGCUGUGCCAAGAAGCAAGAAGGCCUGCAAGGCACUUUUCUGAUUAAGCUUGUGACUGACGCUUGGCAGGUUAAAAUUUCCAUUUUCGCACUUGGAUGAAGCUCACUGAAGUAGAGAUUAUGGAGAUAGUGACAGUGAAUUUUUACAGAGGUAUCUUUCUACCUCUUCAGUCUGUCACAACAGAAUAAAAAUACAAAGGAGUUUCUCUUUAAGAGAUUGUUCAUCAGCUGGGUAUAUCAGCAUCAAGACUGGAAAAGGUAACUGCUUUUGUGCAUCACUGCAAUAAAAGAGUGCUACAUA